rnacentral:rRNA from 1 species
UACGUAGGGGGCUAGCGUUGUCCGGAUUUAUUGGGCGUAAAGAGCUCGUAGGCGGCUUUGUCAGUCGGGUGUGAAACCUCCAGGCUCAACCUGGAGCCGCCACCCGAUACUGCAAUAGCUAGAGUCCGGUAGGGGAGCAUGGAACUCCUGGUGUAGCGGUGAAAUGCGCAGAUAUCAGGAAGAACACCAGUGGCGAAGGCGGUGCUCUGGGCCGGAACUGACGCUGAGGAGCGAAAGCGUGGGGAGCAAACAGG